rnacentral:rRNA from 1 species
UGGGGGAUAUUGCACAAUGGGCGAAAGCCUGAUGCAGCGACGCCGCGUGGGGGAUGAAGGCCUUCGGGUUGUAAACUUCUUUUGCUCUGAACAAGGCGCACCAUGGGGUGUGUUGAGUGUAGGGGUUGAUUAACGCCGGCUAACUACGUGCCAGCAGCCGCGGUAAUACGUAGGGCGCGAGCGUUGUCCGGAAUUAUUGGGCGUAAAGGGCUUGUAGGUGGCUGGUUGCGUCUGUCGUGAAAGCUCAUGGCUUAACUGUGGGUUUGCGGUGGGUACGGGCUGGCUUGAGUGCAGUAGGGGAGGCUGGAAUUCCUGGUGUAGCGGUGGAAUGCGCAGAUAUCAGGAGGAAUACCGGUGGCGAAGGCGGGUCUCUGGGCUGUUACUGACACUGAGGAGCGAAAGCAUGGGGAGCGAACAGG